UACGUAGGGUGCGAGCGUUGUCCGGAAUUACUGGGCGUAAAGAGCUCGUAGGUGGUUUGUCGCGUUGUUCGUGAAAACUCACAACUCAAUUGUGGGCGUGCGGGCGAUACGGGCAGACUGGAGUACUGCAGGGGAGACUGGAAUUCCUGGUGUAGCGGUGGAAUGCGCAGAUAUCAGGAGGAACACCGGUGGCGAAAGCGGCUCUCUGGGACGGUACUGACGCUGAGACACGAAAGCGUGGGAGCAACAGG
rnacentral:rRNA from 1 species